rnacentral:rRNA from 1 species
GAUGAUUAUUGGGCCUAAAGCAUCCGUAGCCUGUUCUAUAAGUUUGCGGUUAAAUCUAUACGCUCAACGUAUAGGCUGCCGUAAAUACUGUAGAACUAGGGAGUGGGAGAGGUAGACGGUACUCGGUAGGAAGGGGUAAAAUCCUUUGAUCUAUCGAUGACCACCUGUGGCGAAGGCGGUCUACCAGAACACGUUCGACGGUGAGGGAUGAAAGCUGGGGGAGCAAACCGGAUUAGAUACCCGGGUAGUCCCAGCUGUAAACGAUGCAGACUCGAUGAUGCAUUGGCAUAUAGCCAGUGCAGUGUCGCAGGGAAGCCGUUAAGUCUGCCGCCUGGGAAGUACGUACGCAAGUAUGAAACUUAAAGGAAUUGGCGGGGGAGCACCACAAGGGGUGAAGCCUGCGGUUCAAUUGGAGUCAACGCCAGAAAUCUUACCCGGAGAGACAGCAGAAUGAAGGUCAAGCUGAAGACUUUACCAGACAAGCUGAGAGGUGGUGCAUGGCCGUCGCCAGCUCGUGCCGUGAGAUGUCCUGUUAAGUCAGGUAACGAGCGAGAUCCUCGCCACUAGUUGCUAUCAUUAUUCUCAGGAAUAGUGGGGCGAAUUAGUGGGACUGCCGUUGUUAAAACGGAGGAAGGAGGGGGCUACGGCAGGUC